UACGAAGGGGGCGAGCGUUGUUCGGAUUUACUGGGCGUAAAGGGCGCGCAGGCGGCUUUGUUUGUCAGGCGUGAAAGCCCCGGGCUUAACCUGGGAACUGCGUUUGAUACGGCAGGGCUAGAGUUCGGGAGAGGAGAGUGGAAUUCCCAGUGUAGAGGUGAAAUUCGUAGAUAUUGGGAAGAACACCGGUGGCGAAGGCGGCUCUCUGGACCGAUACGUGAUGCUGAGGCGCGAAAGCGUGGGGAGCAAACAGG
rnacentral:rRNA from 1 species